GGAAUGAAAAAUCUAGUAAUAACCAGCAGAGGCAGGAUUCCACAGGGUAACGUUGUUAAACAGUGGAGCAGAUGUACAGAGAGUCUGUAAAAUGUCCAUCCUUCAGGGUACUCAAAAUGCAGCUGGGCAAGGCCUGACCAACUUGCUGUAACUGAGCCUGCUUUGAACAGGAUCUGGAACCAGCUGGCCUCCAGAGGUUCCUUCCAGCAUACCUGAUCCUGUGGUUCUGUGACUUUUUUUGAGAGUAUUGCCAAAUUGGAAGCCCAGAGCAAUGUUUAUGGGGGAAAAAACCAACAAUCCAGCUCUAAAAGGGAAAAAAAAAUGUCUCGGAAUCAACUAAAGUAAACUACAAGAAAAAGACACAGAGGAAACUAAGCUAUCAAUAAAGCUAUCAAUGAAGCUGUCCAAGAGAAAAGUGCUUUUCAGCAGCAGGGAAUAACGGAGGUUGUGAAGUUAAAAAGCCUGGAGAAUAUCCUGAGGAGAGUGUGAGAAAGCUGAAACAUGUCUAGUAGAUAUGACAUCAAAAAGCCCAAUCACCCAAAGAGAAAGUGUAUACAUGGACUCAUCUUCAAAGACUGAAUUUGACAUUUUUAUAAUUUGUUGUGUGCUUUCUGAGCAUCUGCUGAGACUACACAUCUCAAACAUUACUGGUGGCAGCUAGUCUAAAGAAUGCACUUUCCUGGUGCAAUGGUGGAGGACCGUGACAUGCAGAAAAAAGAAAAUCUCCUGUCUGAAACAGUGACCAGUUCUUCCUAUUCUCGCUCUUCUCCUGGAAGGUGAGGAUGAACUGCUCACCCCACAGUCCUGAGCCAGGAACAGGAACCAGCCUGCUGCGGUCCAGGAAACCCAGGGUAAUACCAGUAUUAAUAUCUGCUUCUGUCAGAGCCAGCCAGAUUACAGCCAAGCCUAAAGGGCAGGGUACUAGACCAGAGGCAAAUGUAAAGGGUGUCUUUCCCUGGGGUGACCAUAAUGUAACAUACAUAGCAUUGCAGACAACCAGAGUGUCAGAUUUGCAUUCUGGAUUCUGAAGCACAGAUACUUGUACAAUAGAUGUUUCUCACAGGCUUAUAUACAGUGUAAAGAUGUGUCCACCUAUGAUACCAGUUAUGGCUGUUUCAGUAGGUUAUUAUACAGUUCUGAACAUGGUCAAAUUAUGUGAGUCUUGCAUACUGCCUGAAUGGUUUUCCAACAGUGGGUUCCAUUUUUCUUUAAUGUACCUCAAAACAUAGUUUCCUGCUCAUGUUUAAUGAAGUAAACUCCUGAUAACUGCAGCAUACACUAUAGUCAUUAUUUCCUCCUCAUAUUUCAGGGCCUUUGACAUUUCAGUCUGCCCAGCAAUGGUUCGUUAACAGGAUGUACUUACAUAUUCAUAUUUCAGCUACUUGUUAUUAACUUCUGUCUAAUUCCAGUAAUGCUCUGAUCCAUCAUCAGAACAGCUUACUCAUAAGCAUUUGGUUCUGCCCAGGUUACAACACUGUUCUGCAGGAGAAGCAGCUCCUUAGGGGCAGAGCUGAGAGCUGGGGUGGAAACUGCUCCAGCUGCCUUGUUUGCGAGUCAUCCCUGUAAGUACAUAAACUUCUAGAAGCUGUGUUGAUUCUUCCAUGCAAUUGAAUAACAUGAUGAUGAUUGUGGAAGAGUGAUUUCUCUGCAUAUACUCCUUGUUGAGGCUAUUAGGACAAAGUAUGAUAGGGCACAAAUAAAAUCAUAAGGCUAGACAUUCAGAUGAUGAACAUCAGUGUGGCAGUGUUAAAGUUCAUCUAUUGCAGUAGAAAAUUACCUUUCUAAUGACAUUAUAAGGUUCCUAUUAUUAUAAGAUAAAUUCAUAGCUGACUGUUCAUUCUGUAUGAGAUUUUUUUUUUGUAUAAUAAUACAAAGAAAUUUAAUUUCUAAUUUUAGCCUCUUUUAUACAUUUAUUUCUACCAUAUUUUUUGAGACAGGGAGUCAGCCUGAGGAAACAUACUGCUCAGUUUGAUUUCAGGUACUAUAGAUGUAGUUUGUUCUUUCUGUUCUAUGCAGAAAUAGUUAAUGACCAAGAUAACUGCACAGUGCACCACAGCUGAAUAUUUCAAAAUACUUCAGGAAAAUUCUUGCUCCCCCUGCAGUCAAAGGAAGCUUUUGCAGUGAAUUUAAAAAGGAAAGGAGGUGUGCAUUUCUGCUGUGGAUGCCAUGAAAAUGUGCUUGAUGUUUAUGUCUGUGUUUGCUUUGCUUUGGCUUGCCAAUACUUACUUAAGAAAGAAACUAGAUUAACAUUUUAACAUCACAUUAUCUCUCAGAUAUCUCUGCUUACUAUCUUUGUUUGCUGUACUUUUGUAAAUAAGAUAAACAGUGAGUAAACAGAAAAAACAACUUCCAUGGUGCAUUUUGUACAAAGUUCUCAGACGAUUAAUGGUGGAGCAUGUGAGUCUGCUAAGACAAAAGAGGACAGGUGGUAUUAAAAAAUCUUAGAUGCAUUUUAAAUGUAGGGAAGUACACUUCUAAUUAAUAUUUUAAAGUACGAUGUGAAC